AGGACUCAGCCAAACAUGAGGUUUCUUUUUUUCGCCCUUAUCAUGGCUGUCAUGUUUUCCAUGAUUAGUGCUGAUAAAUCGGGUGAGAAAUUUUGGAAGAGACUGAAGCAUGAGAGGCCUUAUCCAUCACGUUAUUAUCCAAGUUAUCCACUAUACCCACAAAAUCCAGGUCCAUUUCCAAAUGCUUAUCCAUACCCGGCUCCGUACUACCCAU